rnacentral:rRNA from 1 species
GAUGAACGCUGGCGGCGUGCCUAAUACAUGCAAGUCGAGCGAACAGACGAGGAGCUUGCUCCUCUGACGUUAGCGGCGGACGGGUGAGUAACACGUGGAUAACCUACCUAUAAGACUGGGAUAACUUCGGGAAACCGGAGCUAAUACCGGAUAAUAUAUUGAACCGCAUGGUUCAAUAGUGAAAGACGGUUUUGCUGUCACUUAUAGAUGGAUCCGCGCCGCAUUAGCUAGUUGGUAAGGUAACGGCUUACCAAGGCAACGAUGCGUAGCCGACCUGAGAGGGUGAUCGGCCACACUGGAACUGAGACACGGUCCAGACUCUUACGGGAGGCAGCAGUAGGGAAUCUUCCGCAAUGGGCGAAAGCCUGACGGAGCAACGCCGCGUGAGUGAUGAAGGUCUUCGGAUCGUAAAACUCUGUUAUUAGGGAAGAACAAAUGUGUAGGUAACUAUGCACGUCUUGACGGUACCUAAUCAGAAAGCCACGGCUAACUACGUG